GACCGGACCCGGGCUCAGGUUCCCAAGUAUAUCGGCGCAUAUAUGCGCACAGCCAUGCGGCCUGCACCCACCAAGAUGGUGCCUGCAGCAGCCUAUACGCCACUGUCCUCAGAGGAACACAGCUCAGCCGACCUCUCCCCUCAACCAAGGCGGCGAUCAGGACCACCAACGAACACAGCACAAGGGGACUCGGCCCCAGCCACCAGGGCAG